AUUGAGAUCUUGGAUUUCUAGAUGCUAUUUUCUGCGAUUUUGAUCCCUGCUAUGUUCCCUGGUAUGGAAGAACGUUUAGACCUAUGUGCAGCCCAAGUGCUUGACGAAUUGCCCAACUCAAAAUUGCAAAUCUGGGUUGCUCGAAGAUUGGGUAUCUGGGUGGCUUGUCGAUUGGAUGUCUGGAGUUCAGUGCUAUUUGACGAUCUGGUGAUGCUUGUGUGGUGAUUCAGGUGAAUUUGUUUCUAUUUCUUGAAUCUCGAUUCUAUAUGCUGCUUUUCUCUGAAGUCGUGGUAUGUGUUUGUUCUUGAUUUCCUGGUUUGUUUGAAGCAAAGAUUUGGGGGUUCUUGAUUUAUGGAUAGAAUUGUGAUAUGGUGAUGUCUGAAAGGAUCAUUCUUUCUGUAUCUUUUCUUGGAGUAUAAUUCUCUAAAAUUUGUGAAUAUGUUGGGAUUUAUAGUUUAUGGGUUUGAAGAAGAAAGUAGCAGUCUUUCUGUGGAUUUUUGGAGUGUCAUUCUCCUGAGUCAAAGUGUUUUCUGUGAAUCUUGGAGUGUCAUUCUCCUGAUUCGAAGUGUUCAGGUGCUAACUGAGGAGUUGUGCAAUAUGUCCCUUAUCACAGCCUAUAAUGUCGAGUCUAACCAACUCAGUUGUUAGCAUGAAUCUACAGUAAGUCCGGUUAUACGAUGAAGUUUGAAGAAGUUGUAAACGGUAAAUCCCACGAAGGGUAAUUCCGUGUUUUGAGUAGGUAAAUCCCACGAAGGGUAAUCCUACAUAGAUGUUGAUUUUCAGUUGUUGAAAUUGUGAAGGCCGAUGCCAUUGUUCGAAGUACUUGUUUUUUUUUUUUUGGUAAAAUCCACAAAGGGCGAUCCCGUGGUACUAUAGUUAAGGCCGAUGCCACACUAUAGUUUUGUUAAUUUUCUGUUUUAAAGGCCGAUGCCAAUGUUAAAUGAAGUUGAUGCCGGUAAAUCCCACGAAGGGUAAUCCCGUACGAAAUUGUUAUAACCGGCCUGAGGGUGUGUUACAACUUUAUAAGAGGCUGUUUUUCGAUUGAAGCUCCUGCGAGAGGCAGAGGAAUAUUGGAUGUUUUGGAUGGGAAGAUUGUAUCUACAAAAGGUGUAAAUUUCUAUCUGGUUUGCAGUGAAGAUCCUAUUAAAAGGCAGAGGAAUAUUAGACUUUUGGAUGUGCUUCCUACUGAGCUUGCAGAUUGAGUUUGUUGCAGUGAGUCAGUGAAUAUAUUUGGGGCAGAUUGAUGUUCACUGCUGCUCUGCAGCUAUAACAAACUCGUUAUUCAGAACAGGUUCGAGAUCAUUUCCAUAUUUGCAGAAUCAAGGUUGCAGUUGGUUCAAGUUGUUCUGUUUUUCUGGGUUUCCUAACAGUGAUUGCAGUUGUUCUUCCAAUCUCAAACUGGGUUACCCCAGUUGAGAUUGAGGGGGAGUAUUAAGGGUAAAAAUGUAAUACGUUAGUAAUAUAGUUAGGUAGUUAGUAUUUGAUUAAAGUGGUUAGGAUUUCUAUAUAAACUGUUGUCUCAUAGUUGUAAAUAUUCAUUCAAUCAAUACAAUUCCUAUUCUCUCUAAACACUCUCUCUAGAAUCUCUCUUGUUUCUCUCUGCCUUCUUCCUCUUUCUCUGUACAAAUCCUUCAUCUUUGCAAUG
rnacentral:lncRNA from 1 species